rnacentral:rRNA from 1 species
CCUUGUACACACCGCCCGUCAUGCCAUGAAAGUUGUUUGUACCCAAAAUUGCCUUAGCUAACCUUUAGGAGGCGGGCACCUAAGGUAUGGGCGGCGAGUUGGGGUA